rnacentral:rRNA from 1 species
AGUGAACGCUGGCGGCAGGCCUAACACAUGCAAGUCGAGCGGCAGCGCGGGGGCAACCCUGGCGGCGAGCGGCGGCCGGGUGAGGAAUGCGUCGGAAUCUGCCUCUUUGUGGGGGAUAACGUAGGGAAACUUACGCUAAUACCGCAUACGACCUACGGGUGACAGUGGGGGACCUUCGGGCCUCACGCAGAGAGAUGAGCCGACGCCGGAUUAGAUAGUUCGCGGGGUAAAGGCCCACCAGGGCGGCGAUCCGUAGCUGGCCUGAGAGGAUGGUCAGCCACACUGGAACUGAGACACGGUCCAGACUCCUACGGGAGGCAGCAGUGGGGAAUAUUGGACAAUGGGCGCAAGCCUGAUCCAGCCAUGCCGCGUGUGUGAAGAAGGCCUUCGGGUUGUAAAGCACUUUUGUCCGGAAAGAAAAGCUUCCGAUUAAUACUCGGGAGUCAUGACGGUACCGGAAGAAUAAGCACCGGCUAACUUCGUGCCAGCAGCCGCCGUAAAAC